GUGCGCCUUGUAAUUGCGAUCCAGAAGGUUCUUACAAUCAUACAUGCAAUGCCGUCACUGGUCAAUGCGAAUGCAGACCUGGUGUUACCGGUCAACAUUGCAAUGCUUGUCUUCCUUAUCAAUAUGGUUUUAGCAGAGAAGGUUGCAAGCCUUGCGAUUGUGACCGAAUCGGGUCUCAAGACUUGCAAUGCGACGUUAAUGGACAAUGUCAGUGUCUCACAAAUGUAGAAGGAAGACGUUGUGAUCGUUGUAAGGAAAAUAAACACAAUAGACAAAACGGUUGCGUAGACUGUCCAGAUUGUUAUAAUCUUGUUCAGGAUGCUGUCGAUACUCACAGGGAACGUGUAGCCGAAUUGGAAAAUACGCUUCGGAAAAUUAACAGCAGUCCGACUGUCAUAAAAGAUAGCGACUUCGAAAAUGAAUUGUUAACGGUCCAAGAAAAAGUGAAAAAUCUUUUGAAGAUUGCGAAACAAGGAUCUGGCAGU